AUGAAGCCCACCCACAUCAUAGAGGGCAAUCUGCUUUUCUCAAAGUCCACCAAUUUAAAUGUUGAUCCCAUCCAAAAACACCCUUGCAGGAACAUGCAGAAUAAUGUUGAGAUACUUGAACAAUGUGGCCCAGCCAAGUUGACACAUAAAGUCACCAUCACAUUUACACUAAAAAAUUAUUCAUUGUUUAUCUGGAAUUCAAAUUUGACUGAGUAUAUUCUGUUUUUUCUGACAGUCCUACUCACGGAGGACUCUGUGCUUCAUGCAACAGCCCCAGCUGAGCUCCCAGCAGAUGCCAGCACCAUUCGCCAUCCAUGAUAAGCCUCCGAUGCAAUCACUUGUGUUAAGAAAUUGAGAGAAUGUUGAUAUAAACUGUUCCCUGAGCCAUAUGGAAAGCUGUAUCUUCUGCAGGUUGCUUGGUGAGUAUACAAGGAGUACAAGGUAUAUUUAUUGACUUUGAGAAGUGUUUCUCUAAGAAGGUGUACUGAAAGAUUUUCUCCUGCUACAGGGAUAGCCCUUAAAAAGGAAGUCACUUUCCUUAGGUACACAGACAGGGCUCCUUCAGCAGACAGCAGAUAGAUAUGCAAUGCAGACCUUGUUUUCUGUGAUGGUCCCAAUGUAUCACUGGAUAAGUCUGUCCAAUUCUGGGGUUUGUUCAUAGGAAACCUAUGUGCCAGCAAAUCUAUGUCACAUUCUCCAGUAUCUCCUUUAUAAGGAAUAAAGUCAAUGUAUUGUUCUUCUUAUUCUUUUGUCGUAUUUCUCAGUUGGUGUACAACUCAGACUUGGAGCUGGAGGGCAUUUUGGGGGCCCCUUAAAGAUCCAAGCAUUGCGAAGCAAGACUGUAGGAAUAGUUGGGGAGCAAGCGAGACACAGGAGAGUAGAGCUGUGGACCUAUUGUAAGCCCCACCCCUGAGGGCAGAGCAGAACAUAUACUUGGUUAAGUGAAAGUUACAACCAAGAGUUUUAAAGGGAGAGGACCUGGGCUGUGCAACCUGUUUCUCCUUCCAAACUCACCAAUUAGAUGGGACAUUCCUGUGAUAGAGGAGUGAGUGUAUCAAGAGGCCAGAAGUGUUUUGGGUAUCGAUGUCUCUCCACAUAGAAGAAAAUAUUAAGAAUGGUGGACAAGCAGUACCUAAGCUGGAGCGGGAUAGAGGCGGGCCAGCACCCACUUCUGACCUCCAGUGC
rnacentral:lncRNA from 1 species